rnacentral:rRNA from 1 species
CGCGUAGGCGGUUAGUUAAGUCAGAUGUGAAAGCCCUGGGCUCAACCUGGGAAUUGCAUUUGAUACUGGCUGGCUAGAGUAUGGUAGAGGGAAGUGGAAUUCCAGGUGUAGCGGUGAAAUGCGUAGAUAUCUGGAGGAACAUCAGUGGCGAAGGCGACUUCCUGGACCAAUACUGACGCUGAGGUGCGAAAGCGUGGGUAGCAAACA